rnacentral:lncRNA from 1 species
AUAUGCAUUCAUGUAUUGGUUCCUUUUGAGUGCUAGAAUUUUCGACUAGCAGCUAUUUAUUCCUUUCUUUGUAUUGUUAGUUUUUCAUUUCCAUUUAUGGACCUGUCCAGCCUUGUGUUUUGAAAACAGAUUUUAUUAGCUGCUAUAUGUUGUACACAAUGACAAAGAUGAUGCAAAGGUUGUCUUACUUUGUCAACAUUAUUGUUGUUAGAGCACAUAGCAUGCAUAGAACAUUUGUUAUUGAUAUCAGAUACAAUAGCUUGAGAAAACAAAGGAUAAUAGUUCCAAUGCAGUUGAAAUUAAGAACAUGAAGAAGGUAGAGGAGAGGAGAUGAAAUUGCAGUGAGAAGGCAGGGAAAGUGAGAUAAGUCUGAUUUGCUAAUCAUUGGGGAUGACAAAGUUCUUUCUGACCUGAACCAAACACCAACUUCAUUAGUAAAACUGGUCUCCUAUUGUUGUUUAAGUCAUCAUACUAGGAAGCUGGAUGUUUUUAAUUUGGGAGGGAGGGAUAUGUAUAAGCCAGAUGAUAAUAUCAUUGAAUGACUAUGAACAUGGUUACUGUAGACCAGCAUUUAGAUUCUGAAACUGCUGGUAUGUUUUCUUCCAUUUCGUAAUCUUCUUCACUUCCAUCAAACAGAAAUCUGCCUCUUUUGCCUGUAUGAAAUUGAUAUGUAUCCAUCAAUAAUGCAUCAUCAUUUGUAUGUUCAUCCCAAAAUGGCCCAGGGAAAAAGAGAAGGGGAAAAAAUAAGACAUGAUAUACAUGGAGCACAAAUGGAGAUGACCAACUCUCUGUUGUUCUUCGAGGGAAUUUGAAAUAAUUAGCAAAUACAGAAAAACUAUCAAAAGAUGUAUAAAAACAAUAUAUUAUAAAUAACAAACAAUAAGCAAAAAUAUUUUCAUCAAUAUCUUGAGAAUGACAUUCAAUACAGUGUAGGUGCAGUGCUUCUAGAGUGCAAUGAUGUCAAAAACUAUCUGUCAAGUUAAUGGAUGGUGGAUGCUAAACUUCAAAAUUGAAAUUUUCAGUUGGCUGCUUAAAAAACUAGGAAAGUGAAAGCAAUAUUGAUAAGUGAUCAUAGGACUUUUUAUUCCUCUAUUGGUACAUACACACAACAAAUAAACAUGAACUGUUCAUCUCUCUAUGUUCCAUUAUUUUUUUAACCUUAUUGUGAUACCACAUUAUAUAAACAAAAAGGAAAACGUAAGGCACGAGAGAAUAAUCAAACGACGCAAAAGCCUUUUUAUUUAGCAAACAAUAAAUUGAAUGGAGAAGACAAAGUAAUGAAAGGGAAAAGAGUUCCAAUGACCUAGAAAAUACAAGGCACAGUAUUAAUUUGCCAUGUUGACAUCACGAUUAACUCUUGGGUUAUCACCCACAGAUAUUAACAAAGAAGAUAUCUUUAAUUAGUGUAAAUUUUCAUGAGGUUAGUGACUGCUAGGAAAUAAAUGCUACCCAAAAUAAUACCAAGAUUUAACUCUGACAGAGGAUAUACCACCAAAGUGUCUAGAAAACCUAACACUAUCUUUGAUUCAGCAGUCAAUAUAUGUUCUGAAUCCUCAAUGGUUGUUAAGUUAUGUAAGUUAGGUCACCCAAGUGACAAUAGCAUCCCUAAAAAGAAAAUUACAGAAACAUAAUCCCUCUAGAUGCCCUUAAAGAAAGCUUUAAAAGGUCAUCCUAAUGAAGAAGAUGAAACACAGAAUAAAAUUUGAUGUCUACACUUGACAUGCAAUCUAAUUUCUCUCUUAACUAAAUUUUCUCAAAAGACAAUACGGAAAGAAGAAUGCAACUUGUAUUUGAUUUUAAAUUCAUAAACAUAAAACUUGAUGUAUAGUUUGAACCAUGAGAAAAGAUCAGGGAAUAUGAUAGAUAUUGGACCAAAAAAUAAACCAAAAAUAGCUUUUUAUUUUCAGAUAUUAAUGGAUUCUUGUUAUAAGCUCAUUGUUGUCAACAAGACAAUAUUAUAUUCCAUGUUCUAGUUGAAAAUUAAGGCACUAGGGUUGCAACCAAAUAUUUUUGGAUGCGGAUACACUACACCAAAAAUGGCCUCUAGUGAUGGAAAAAUUCUUCACAAGACAUAAAUGCAUGUCUGUAGUGUUGCUCUACAUCUACAUGAAUGCAUGUGAAAAGCCCCAACAAUAUAAACAAAAUAAGAUUUGAUUAAGCACAAAUGGAUGAACAAAGUGAAGUAAUUACAAAUAAAUAAACUAAGAUUAGAUGUCUUACUGAAUUGAAAGAGAGCAGGACAACAGCAGACCAACAACAGCCGCAUGAAAUAGACUACAACAGAAGAAAUAGCAAUGUUGUCAUGUAGCAUAUAAGUUGCAACAGCAACAGGUAGCAGGGAAACAGCAAGGCCCAAACAGCAUAUGCAUAAACCAACAACAGCAUAUAAUUGCAGAAGUAGACGAGCACCAAAUGAGUAGCAGCAUCACAGACACACCAUCAGCCUUAAAGCAGCUGUAAUUCGGUAACAUAGUAGACCCCCAUCAAACCAUACUAAGCCAAGAAAGAGUAGUAACAAUAACAGCCCAAACUUCCUUUGGGCAUAACCCAACCAAAACAAAGAGGAACGGGGGCUCAAACCUCAUAUAACACAGCAAACAGUACAAGCAAAAACCCAAAUUACAAGGCUAAAUAUCUAUAACAAGAUUAUUUUUAACUUUCUGAAAUUUAAUGUUAGUAUGAAGCACACAUUUUAUAAUCUGUAGAAUAUCUUGA